rnacentral:rRNA from 1 species
UCGUGUCGUGAGAUGUUGGGUUAAGUCCGUAACGAGCGCAACCCUUGUCCUUAGUUACCAGCACGUUAUGGUGGCACUCUAAGGAGACUGCCGGUGACAAACCGGAGGAAGUGGGGAUGACGUCAAGUCAUCAUGGCCCUUACGGCCUGGGCUACACACGUGCUACAAUGGUCGGUACAAAGGGUUGCCAAGCCGCGAGGUGGAGCUAAUCCCAUAAAACCGAUCGUAGUCCGGAUCGCAGUCUGCAACUCGACUGCGUGAAGUCGGAAUCGCUAGUAAUCGUGAAUCAGAAUGUCACGGUGAAUACGUUCCCGGGCCUU